GGGGCGAGGGGUGUGGAUUCUGUUCCAGUGCAGGGGGAAGCCACUGGAGGUUUUAAGCAUGAGAGUGACAUCAUCCGAUUUAUGCUUUUAAAAGAUCACGCUGGCAGCUGUGUUCCUCCCUCUCACCACUGAAUCCCCAGGGCCUAGCACUAGCCCUGGCCCAAAGGGAGUGUUCAAAAUAUGCCCUGAAUGAAUGCGUGCCCCGGACUUCCUGUGUGACCUGGAGAUACUCACUUCUGUCUCCGGACCUUAGUUUUCUCACCCGAAAGGCAGUCGGUGGGGAUUUCACGCCAGAGUGGGUGGGCCGGAGUGGAUUUAGGUUUCCCGCCUUCCCAUGAGGCCCCGAGACCCGAAUCCCCCACUUCAGGAGACGAACUGAGGUGGGGGGGGGGGGGGGGGGGGGGUGGAUCUUCCCUCCUGGCGACCUGAAGCAAUGCGCGGCGGCCCCGCCCCGGCCUGGACCGAGGUCUGAAGGAUGCUGCAGCCCCGGGGGCGGGACCCGCAGGCGAUCCCCGGCGCCUCCCGUGCGGAUUGGGUGCAGCGGUGACCGGCGCCGCGCUAUUGGUCGGUCCAGAAGCAGGGGCGGGGACCCGCUCCUGCAGCGCGGCGGCGGGGACACGGCCAGAGCCCGGGAAGCUGCUGCGGGGGUGAUGGCCGCGCCGAGCCCGGGGCCCCGCGAGGUCCUGGCCCCCUCCCCAGAGGCUGGAUGCAGACCAGCCACCUCGACCUCUGGCCGCCGUGGCCUCCUCUGGCGUCUACGAGACAAGCAGGCUCGCCUUGGCCUGUUUGAGAUCGGCCCGGGGCAUGAGCUGCACCAGCUGACAUGUAUGAUGCAGGCAGGGCUGUGGGCUGCCACUCAGGUCUCCAUGGACCACCCACCCACAGGACCACCCACCGAGGAGGAUUUCUCCGAGGUCCUGACCCAGGUUCAUGAGGGCUUCGAGCUGGGCACCCUGGCCGGCCCGGCCUUCGCCUGGCUACGCCACUCCCUAGGCCUGGCUGAGGGAGACUAUCAGGCGGCAUUAGGCCCAGGUGGCCCCUACCUGCAGUUCCUCAGCACCUCCAAGAGCAAGGCCAGCUUCUUCCUGUCCCACGAUCAACGCUUCUUCCUGAAGACCCAGCGCCGCCGGGAGGUGCGGGCGCUGCUCGCCCACCUGCCCCGCUACGUGCAGCACCUGCAGCGGCAUCCGCACUCGCUGCUUGCGCGGUUGCUGGGAGUGCACAGUCUGCGGGUGGCUCGGGGAAAGAAGAAAUUCUUCAUCAUCAUGCAGAGCGUCUUCUAUCCCGCCGGCCGCAUCUCUGAGAGGUAUGAUAUAAAGGGCUGUGAGGUGAGCCGAUGGGUGGAGCCAGCCCCUGAGGGUAGCCCUCUUGUCCUCGUGCUGAAGGACCUCAACUUUCAAGGCAAGACCAUCGACCUGGGGCCCCAGCGGAGCUGGCUCCUCCACCAGAUGGAACUGGACACCGCCUUCCUCCGGGAGCUCAACGUGCUGGAUUACAGCCUUCUGAUGGCCUUCCAGCACCUCCACGAGGAUGAGAGGGGCCCGGGCAGCAGCCUCAUCUUCCGCACAGCCAGGUCUGUGCGAGGGGUGCAGAGCCCGGAGGAGCCGGAAUCCCAGAACCGCCGGCUGCUGCCCGACUCCCCCAACGCCUUACACAUCCUGGACGGGCCGGAGCAACGCUAUUUCCUGGGUCUCGUGGAUCUCUCUACGGUCUACGGGCUCCGCAAGCGGCUGGAGCAUUUAUGGAAGACGCUGCGCUACCCAGGUCGGACCUUCUCCACCGUCAGCCCCGCUCGCUACGCCCGUCGCCUCUGCCAGUGGGUGGAGGCUCAUACCGAGUGACCCGCGCCCGUUGCUCUCUCGCAUCUGGACAAUGGGCACACGCCGGGAACCAGGGUUCCAGUCUGGCCCCGGCGGCGGGUCGGCCUCCCUUCACCUGCUGUUCCUCCCUUUGGCCUCCAGAGGGCAGCAUCCCCUAACUAAUACCAUGACAACACAGCCUCAUUUGGUGGUGAUGACUGGUUCGGCGUUGUGCCAGGGACUCCCCAACAUUAGCUCGAUUAAUCUUCAAAAAAAAAAAAUGCUAUUAUUCUCUUUUUACAGACCAUGAAUUGGAGGCUCAGGGGGUGAAGGUACUGAGCAAGAUCAUUCAGCAAUAAAUGCUGGAACCAGGACUCGACUAUGCCUUUUGGACUCAGGAGCCUGUAUUCUCACCCACCAGCUCCCUUAGCCCUGUCUUCAUGCUCUGGGGAAUGGUGUAGGCUGAAGGCUCCAGCCAAGCCCCUUUGUCGUCCAGAUGGGGAAACUGAGGCCCAGAGACUUUAAUGGGCUUACCCAUGGGACCCUCCAGCCUGGCCUCUGACCCUGGCCCAAUCCAACCAUGCCCAAGUGGGCUUCUCCUCUAGAGCUGCUCUGGGGCCUGGCUGUGUGACCAGGGCAAGGUGCUAGCCCUCUCUGUGCUUCAGUGGUCGAAUCUGUAAAAUGGAAAGGAUGAAAGUGGACUUUGUUAACUCAUUAAAUAUUUACUGAGCACCUA